GUGCAGCAGUCGCGAAACCUCCGCAAUGCGGGAAACCGCGACGGGGGACCCCGAGUGCCGUGGCAACGCCACGGCUUUUCCGGAGUGUAAAAAGCUCCGGGAAUAAGGGCUGGGCAAGGCCGGUGGCAGCCGCCGCGGUAAUACCGGCGGCCCGAGUGGUGGCCGCUAUUAUUGGGCCUAAAGCGUCCGUAGCCGGGCCCGUAAGUCCCUGGCGAAAUCCCACGGCUCAACCGUGGGGCUUGCUGGGGAUACUGCGGGUCUUGGGACCGGGAGAGGCGGGGGGUACCCCUGGGGUAGGGGUGAAAUCCUAUAAUCCCAGGGGGACCGCCAGUGGCGAAGGCGCCCCGCUGGAACGGGUCCGACGGUGAGGGACGAA
rnacentral:rRNA from 1 species